GACCAAAAGAAAGAGGAUUGGAAUGGAUUGUUUAAUGUUUCCACUGCAUGAGGCUAUGGAAUGAAUAGGUUUUGUC
rnacentral:tRNA from 1 species